ACGAACGCUUGCGGCGUGCCUAAGAAUGCAAGUCGAACGGGGGGCUUCGGCCCUAGUGGCGAACGGUCGCGUAACACGUGGGCAACCUGCCCUGAAGCGGGGGACAACAAGCCGAAAGGCUUGCUAAUACCGCAUGUGGUCUCUCUUGGCAUCUUGAGAGACUAAAGACUUCGGUCACUUCAGGAUGGGCCCGCGGCCUAUCAGCUAGUUGGGGGGUGGGGUAACGGCCCUACCAAGGCUUCGACGGGUAGCUGGUCUGAGAGGACGACCAGCCGGAUUGGGACUGAGAUACGGCCCAGACUCCUACGGGGGGGCAGCAAUUAGGAAUCUUGCGCAAUGGGGGAAACCCUGACGCAGCGACGCCGCGUGAAGGAUGAAGUCUUUCGGGAUGUAAACUUCUUUUAUUGGGGAAGAAAGAAUGUGACGGUACCCAAUGAAUAAGCCCCGGCUAACUACGUGCCAGCAGCCGCGGUAAUACGUAGGGGGCGAGCGUUGUCCGAAUUUACUGGGCGUAAAGAGCGCGUAGGCGGGUUUGUUAAGUGAGAGGUGGAAGGUUCAGGGCUCAACCCGAACAGUGCCUUUCAUACUGGCGACCUUGAGUAUGGGAGAGGCGAGUGGAAUUUCUGGUGUAGCGGUGAAAUGCGUAGAUAUCAGAAGGAACACCCAUGGCGAAGGCAGCUCGCUGGCCUAUAACUGACGCUGAGGCGCGAAAGCGUGGGAGCAAACAGGAUUAGAUACCCUGGUAGUCCACGCCCUAAACGAUGAAUGCUAGGUGUUAGUGGUAUCGACCCCACUAGUGCCGCAGCUAACGCAAUAAGCAUUCCGCCUGGGGAGUACGGCCGCAAGGUUGAAACUCAAGGAAAUGACGGGGGACCCGCACAAGCGGUGGAGCAUGUGCAUUAAUACGUCACUAACCGUAGAACCUUACCAGGGUUUUGACAUCCCCGGACAGUCCGUGAAAGCGGAUCUUCCCCGCAAGGGGACUGGGAGACAGGUGUUGCAUGGCUGUCGUCAGCUCGUGUCGUGAGAUGUUGGGUUAAGUCCCGCAACGAGCGCAACCCUCAUUCGAUGUUGCCAGCGUAAAGUCGGGAACUCUUCGAGAACUGCCCGUGUAAGCGGGAGGAAGGUGGGGAUGACGUCAAGUCAGCAUGGCCCUUACAUCCUGGGCUUGACACAUGCUACAAUGGCCGUUAAACAAAGGGAAGCAAUACCGCGAGGUGGAGCCAAUCUCAAAAUACGGUCUCAGUUCGGAUUGCAGGCUGCAACUCGCCUGCAUGAAGUCGGAAUCGCUAGUAACCGCCGGUCAGCUAAACGGCGGUGAAUACGUUCCCGGGUCUUGUACACACCGCCCGUCAAGUCACCUGAGUUGUCUGCACCCGAAGCCGGUGGCCUAACCGCAAGGAGGGAGCCGUCUAAGGUGUGGGGAGCGAGGGGGACU
rnacentral:rRNA from 1 species